AGUGGGGAAUAUUGGACAAUGGGCGCAAGCCUGAUCCAGCCAUGCCGCGUGAGUGAUGAAGGCCCUAGGGUUGUAAAGCUCUUUCGGCGGGGAAGAUAAUGACGGUACCCGCAGAAGAAGCCCCGGCUAACUUCGUGCCAGCAGCCGCGGUAAUACGAAGGGGGCUAGCGUUGUUCGGAAUUACUGGGCGUAAAGCGCAUGCAGGCGGAUUGUUAAGUCGGGGGUGAAAUCCUGGAGCUCAACUCCAGAACUGCCUUCGAUACUGGCAAUCUUGAGUCCGGAAGAGGUGAGUGGAAUUCCUAGUGUAGAGGUGGAAUUCGUAGAUAUUAGGAAGAACACCAGUGGCGAAGGCGGCUCACUGGUCCGGUACUGACGCUGAGAUGCGAAAGCGUGGGGAGCAAA
rnacentral:rRNA from 1 species